UAGGGAAUCUUCGGCAAUGGACGAAAGUCUGACCGAGCAACGCCGCGUGAGUGAAGAAGGUUUUCGGAUCGUAAAACUCUGUUGGUAGAGAAGAACGUUGGUGAGAGUGGAAAGCUCAUCAAAGUGACGGUAACUACCCAGAAAGGGACGGCUAACUACGUGUCAG
rnacentral:rRNA from 1 species